CCUACGGGUGGCAGCAGUGGGGAAUAUUGCACAAUGGGGGAAACCCUGAUGCAGCGACGCCGCGUGAGUGAAGAAGUAAUUCGUUACGUAAAGCUCUAUCAGCAGGGAAGAAACACUGACCUUACGCUCACCAGACGGUACCUGAGUAAGAAGCGCCGGCUAACUAGGUGCCAGCUGCCGCGGGAAUACGUAGGGGGCAAGCGUUAUCCGGAUUGACUGGGUGUAAAGGGGGCGUAGACGGUGCGCCAAGUCUGGAGUGAAAGGCCGCAGCUUAACUGCGGAACUGCUUUGGAAACUGGCGAACUAGAGUGCGGGAGGGGUAAGCGGAAUUCCUAGUGUAGCGGUGAAAUGCGUAGAUAUUAGGAGGAACACCGGUGGCGAAGGCGGCUUACUGGACCGUAACUGACGUUGAGGCUCGAAAGCGUGGGGAGCAAACAGGAUUAGAUACCCUUGUAGUC
rnacentral:rRNA from 1 species